CCUUCGAUAGCUCAGUUGGUAGAGCGGGGGACUGUAGAUUUAUAAUUGUGAUCCCUAGGUCGCUGGUUCGAAUCCGGCUCCAAGGA
rnacentral:tRNA from 1 species